rnacentral:rRNA from 1 species
CCUACGGGGGGCAGCAGUGGGGAAUAUUGGGCAAUGGAGGCAACUCUGACCCAGCAACGCCGCGUGAAUGAUGAAGGUCUUCGGAUUGUAAAGUUCUGUGAUGGGGGAUGAACACAAUGACGGUACCCCAAUAGCAAGCCACGGCUAACUACGUUCCAGCAGCCGCGGUAAUACGGAGGUGGCAAGCGUUAUGCGGAAGGACCGGGCGUAAAGGGUGCGUAGGUGGUUUAGUAAGUUGGCGGUGAAAUUCGGGGGCUCAACCUCGGCGCUACCGCCAAAACUAUUAGACUAGAGUGAAGGAGGGGGAAGUGGAAUUCCUAGUGUAGCGGUGAAAUGCGUAGAUAUUAGGAGGAACAUCAGGGGCGAAGGCGAGUUACUGGACUGUAACUGACACUGAGGCACGAAGGCGUGGGGAGCGAACAGGAUUAGAUACACCAGUAGUC